AUGUCCCACCAUUGAAAGCGUGUUAACGACAACCAGCCUCCGCGAAGUAAUACGUAACGGUGGUCCCGCGGGGGAGAGUGGUAGAAGAAGCGUGUGGAAGAGGAGGUAGUUUUUAGUACGUAAGCGCCGUAGAUGCCGAAUCGUGCAUGAUGCUACUAAGAACCACCAGUAUCUUUUGAAGAUUUUCUACCGCCAGC
rfam:Glossina austeni unplaced genomic scaffold Scaffold183, whole genome shotgun sequence.